CUGGGCUGAAAGGGGCGGAGGCAGACCCUAAGAGACGUGGCCAGUCCCGGGGGGGCGGGACCUUCGCCCCCGGGGGGGCGGGCCCCAGGCGGGGAGAGGAGGAGCCAGAGAGGCGGGAGUGGGACAAAUCCGUAACCCAGGAAGCAGAUCUGUGGCGAAAGCCACAGCCCAGAAAGCUGAUAGGGGGCGGAGCCACAGGCCCAGAAGCUGGGGUCGGGGGGCGAAGGAAAGGAACCGGGUCUGGGAAGCAACUUGGAGGCAGAGCCUCACUCAAGGGGCGGAGCCGAGGUCCAGAGGGCAGACCAGGGGAGGGUAAACCGCCCUAAAAACGCGGGGUUCGCGCAGGGAAGGGAGGAAUUUCGGCUUUGGAGGCGGUGUCCACCGGGGAAACACCUGCUGGGGGCCGGGCGAAGGACCAGAAGCUGGAGCGAGAUUGAGCAGAGGAGGGGAGACUGGGUGGCGGCGGCCCCCGAGGACGAGUCUCGGAAGACGGGAUGGGGCGGGUUAAGGAGGAGCCUGGGCUGGAGCCUGGGGCAGACCACCAAGCCUGCCAAGUAUUUCACCUCAAUUACUCAACGAAUUCAUUGUAAUUCAGCUGUUGCCUCGCUUGUGAACCUCAGGCGGGCCUGUUUUCUUUUCUCGGUUUCUCCACCAGAGUGGGGUCAUCUCCACGGUUGCGAAUGCGAAUGGAAUUCUCGAAAAAAGGCUGAUCUUAAAAAUGAGCCCAUUCACGCAGGCUUGCUUUGAUUAACAGACGAGAACUACCGCAACUUUAUACAAAACUGGGCCGCCAGUGUGCUCGGGAACAGUGGGACCUUUCAUUUCCUCCAUUCGCCUCACUGCAGCUCCAGUCACCAGCGCGGGCAGUGAGUCACCCUCAAAGCCAGCCAUUAGCACAGCCAAGCAAAGCAAUACUAACAAUAAACUGAAGCGCACAGUGA